CGUUCGAGUAGAAUUAUUCAAAACACCAUUCGACAGUAAAUUUUGCAUCGAGAAGUGGGAAAUUAAAAUAAAACAACAAAAUGACAAACAUAAACAAAAUCAACAAAAAACAAAAAAGUAUUAUGGCGGAAUAUAUGCAGGAGCACCCGGAUUUGGCCAGAAAUAUUCUGCCAAAUUGCGCUCAAGGAAGAACCGUUGCUCAAAGAUUGUGGGAGCAACUUUCCUUAAAAUUAAAUUCUGUUGGUCCGCCUACAAAAGAACUUAAAAUGUGGCGUAAAGUAUUUGCAGACCAUAAGCAGCA